rnacentral:tRNA from 1 species
GGAGAGAUGGCUCAGCGGUUAAGAGCACUGGCUGCUCUUUCAGAAGACCUGGGUUCAAAUCCCAGCACCC